CUCCCCGCCGAUCGACGGCUCCCCACGCCAAUCGGAGGCGCCCCGGCCUCGGCCCCGCUGCUCGGCGAGCCGGCCGCGCACGCGCCGCAGGCCGACGUGGGCGGUGGAGCGCCCGGGGCUUCGAGGGCGGGGCGGCCGGAGGAGCGCGUGGCCAUGCGGGCCCGAGGGGACCCCGCCGCCGCCGCCGCCGCCGCCGCCGCCGCGCCCCACGUGUCUAUCAUCCUCCCAGUCCACAACGCCGAACCGUGGUUGAAUGAGUGCUUGGAGUCUGUUUUGCAGCAGGACUUCGAAGGCUCCAUGGAGCUCUCGGUUUUUAAUGAUGCCAGUAAGGAUAAGUCUAUGACUAUCAUUGAGAAAUGGAAGGUGAAGCUGGAAGGUUCUGGUAUCCCCGUGGUCAUUGGCGGGCACGCUUCUCCUUCACCCCGAGGAGUUGGAUAUUCUAAAAAUCAAGCAAUAGCACAAAGCUCAGGAUCUUACCUUUGCUUUUUGGAUUCGGAUGACGUGAUGAUGCCUCAGAGGGUGAGACUACAACUGGAAGCUGCUGCCCAGCACCCGACAAGUAUUAUAGGUUGCCAAGUAAGGAGAGAGCCCCCCGACUCCACUGAGCGAUACACACGGUGGAUCAACCAGCUAGCGGCGGACCAGCUUCUUACUCAGGUUUUUACCUCCAAUGGCCCAACUGUGAUCAUGCCCACCUGGUUCUGCUCUCGAGCAUGGUUUUCCCACGUGGGCCCAUUUGACGAGGGCGGACAGGGUGUGCCCGAGGACCUGCUGUUCUUCUACAACCACCUCAGAAAGGGCGGUGGGGUCGUCCGCGUGGACCAGAGCCUCCUCCUCUACCGCUACCACCCAAACGCUGCCACGCACUCUGUCCUCGAGACCACCAUCUGGACCCACCGUGUCCGCUUCCUGGAAGAACGGGUCCUGCCGCACUGGGCAGCUUUCACCAUCUGGAACGCGGGCAGGCAGGGCCGCCGGCUUUACCGCAGCCUGACGGCCGGGACACGACGCAAGGUGGUUGCCUUCUGUGACGUGGACGAGAACAAGAUCAGGAAAGGCUUCUAUUGCCAUGAGGACUCUCAGGAAAGGCCUAAGCCUCGGGUUCCAAUCCUGCACUUCCGAGCUGCCCGGCCACCCUUCGUCAUCUGCGUGAAGCUGGACCUCACCGGGGGUGCAUUUGAAGACAACCUGAGGUCACUGCACCUGCAGGAAGGCCGGGACUUCCUUCACUUCAGCUGAUGGGCCCACGGCAGCUGCCCCCAGGACGUGGUUUACACGCAGCAAAAGGCAGAGCCGUGAGCCCACAGCCUGAGGGGUGUGUGUCCCUGACCGUCCCCUGCCCUGGGGGCACCGCCACCGCCCAGCGCAUGGCGUCUGUCAUGCCAGGAGCUUGUUAGCUCACGCUCCUGACAGACACCUGUGACGCGAGGACGACAGCUGCUGGGUGCUCGGGUCCCGCCAUGGUGGACGUCUGAUUCUGUCGAUGUUGGGCAAACCCGGGGCCCAGUUCCUGGGUCUGACUUGGUUCGCGAUGUGGAAGUACAGACCGGCGACUGAGGACGGAGGCUGUGUGCUCUGAGCUGGCAGGGCAGGCAUCAGCCGGUCCCAUGAGGAUGGCAGAGGCUUGAGGGCGUGGGAAAGGGGGCUCCGGGGCCCCAGUGCCGUCCUCGCGGUUGGUCAGGGUAACAUGUCUGGCCCCCUCUGGUGGGUCCCCGGUUGUGGGAGGGGUGAGUCAGGGAAGCCGGCAGUUAUCGACGGUGUCCUGGCUGUUUCCGGCUGCUGGCUACGGGUUACUCCUUGGCUUCCUGAACUGGCCGCUGCGGGCAGUGGGCAGGGCGUCGUGUUUGCGGGUGUUCUGGCACCUUGAGUCUCCCAGGCCUGGGAAACCCAGUGCUCAACCCGGCCGAGAGCAAACGCCGUCAGCCGUGAGCGACCGCGGGUGAUGUGGAGCCGGCUCGGCUUUGCCUGUCUCAGGACCCAAGCAACAAGGCCACUGAUGACGCUGUGUCCUUAGGGAUUUGUGCCGGAGGCAGGGGUGACCCUGCUGGCAGGAACCCUGUGGUAAGGGCUCGAACGAACAAGGCAGGGAUCCCGAGUGGGCUCCAGGAACCCGGAGCGGCCUCAUGGUGGGGCUCGCGGGAGUCAGAAUGAGAAGCCGGGGCUGCGUUCCGAGUGAUGGUGCAGGAGGAGCUGCUGCGAGGCAGGAGGACCCGGCAUCCUGCUUCACACUCAGCACCUCUUACAGACACCUUUGUUUUUAUACUGAAUACUUCCUGCCACUCUUGUCCGUUUUGCAGAUCCUGCUUGCUUCAGACACUGCUCAUCCUGUGUGCCCGCUGCGUGCUCCUGUUUGCUCAGCAUACCCCCUGGGAGCUGCUCAGCCGGGACCAUUUCCCACCCACACUUCAUUCACCAGAGCAGUGUCUCCCACUGGGGCUGAACCCACCCCCAAAAUCUAGCAACAUCUGGCGGUAGUUUUGUUGUGCGAGUGGGGAAGGGGCUUUGCUACUGGCAUCUGGGAUGUUGCUAAAGACUAGCUCAGCGGCGCCUAAGCGGUGCCGUCGGUUGAACGUCCGACUCUUGGCUUCAGCUCAGGUCAUAAUCUCUGGAUGGUGAGACUGAGCCCCACGUCGGGCUCUGUGCUCAGCAUGGAGUCUACUUGAGAUUCUCUCCCCCUCUGCCCCUCCCGCUCCAAAAAAACCUGGAAUUACUCAGCCCCAAGUGCCAACAGUGCUGAGGCUAAAAACCUAGCUAUGCGUUCGAGGCCUGUGUCAUCUGGAUGUGAUUCUUCGGUGAUGGUUUUCCCACGUAUGCGGUUCUGCCCCGUGGACCGUUCCUUUCCCUCGCACAGCGGGGGCCCCUGCGGUUAGGGGGUGGGCAGCGCUGCGGCCGCACGUGCGGGGUGUGCUCCUACCCCCGCGAGGGGUCUGCAGGCUCCAGCAUCUGGGGACGAGCCCCCGUGACUCUCUGUACACACCAGUCAAAUUUUCUGCAAUCUCUCCUGUUUUUCUGGAUAAUUUCUUCAGCUGUGUCUAGUUGGCUGUUUCAGUCCAUCCAGGGAGCUUUUCCCCCCAAUCUCUUGAUAAUUUCUAGCCCUUUCAAAAACAGAUGUCCUAUUUUGUGGCUGGUAUUACCAACAUCUCAGUCUUUUGGUGUCUGCUUCCAUUAAGUCUUGCUAAUAAUUCCGUUUGUGUAUUUUGUGACCCUUCUGGAGCGUGGGUUUGGGUUCUUUCCAUUCUGCCCAUAGAGAUGAGCCCGCACACUUUCAGGGAGGUUUCUGCCUCUUCUGCCCUCUGUCUGGGAGCACCACUGGUUGGGGCGGCAGUUUGAGCACAUUUUCGGGUUAGUUUUGAGAACUGCACAGGGUCCUCCAGGCGUACUCCAGGAGACGCCUUCCCCAGCCCAGCUCCAGGGGAGAUAGUGACGAGGUGCCGUCCCCUCGUUCUCAUCCGCGCUGCUAGGGCGCAGCCACCCAGGGCCCCAGCUCCGCAUGGGCCUUAUGUCCUACCCCCACGCUGCCACCGAGAUGAGACUGCCCUACGUGUCUCAGGCUCGACAGACACGAUGCUCAGGACCCAGUGCCUGCUCACGGAGAGGUUCGGUUUUGUGCCGUGCACGUGGCCCCUCCCAGCUCCCUGCGCACAUUCUGUUCCAGGCACACUGGCUUCUUGCUCCUCCUCAAACUCACCGAGCUCUUUCCUUUCUGGAGCCACAAGGUGCUCUUCUCUGUCUGGUGCCCACCUACUGCACGGCCCCUCCACGGCAGCCCCACACGCUGCCCACUGCAUGUUGCCCCCAGGCACUGGUUGUGCUAACAGGUCUGCUCCUGGCUACACUCUGUGAGUGUGUGGGGCUCCUCUCACCUAGAUCUACCACCUGGGCCCGGGGGGCCCUCCGGGAACUGCAGCUGCAACCUGGUCAGAGCGAGGGUGACCCACAGGAGCUGACGUGGCUGAGGGCGAGCAGAGGCGCGGGGCCGUGUGCAGCCAGCGGGUCAGGGUGGUUCCGCUCGGGCUGCAGUCAGGCCGGCAGUGGUGAGGGAGAGCUAUGCAGUACAGCGUUGGGUCUGUGGUGAGCUCGCCCAGCUCCAGGUCUCCAAAAGGGCUUCUCUGGAAUCUGGUGGAUUUUUAUUAUUUAUUUUUUUAAAGAUUUUAUUUAUUUGACAGAGACACAGCGAGAGAGGGAACACAGCAGGGGGAGUGGGAGAGGGAGAAGCAGGCUUCCCGCGGAGCAGGGAGCCCGAUGCGGGGCUCGAUCCCAGGACCCCGGGAUCAUGGCCUGAGCCGAAGGCAGACACUUAACAAUUGAGCCACCCAGGUGCCCUUGACUUUCAUUUUCUUUCCUUUAUUUUUUUUAAGUACUAGAUCUUAUUUUUAAUUUUUUUUUUAAGAUUUUAUUUAUUUAUUUGACAGAGAGCCACAGCGAGAGAGGGAACACAAGCAGGGGGAGUGGGAGAGGGAGAAGCGGGCUUCCCGCUGAGCAGGGAGCCCGAUGCGGGGCUCGAUCCCAGGACCCCAGGAUCACGACCUGAGCCAAAGGCACUCAACCGACUGAGCCACCCAGGCGCCCCUGAAUCUUGUGGAUUUUUAAAAAGACACUAAAAACAGUUCAUUGUAUUGCUUCUCAGAAGCGGCUUGCUUGGCUUUCUGCAGCUAAGGUCCAGACACUGCUCUGCGGGUACCGUCCCCCCCCCCCCCCCCCCCCCGUCCUCUGGGACCCUGGUGUAUGACCCCCGCCAGCCGAGGGAUCUCUGACUAGUCUUCCAUCUAAAAUGGAGAGCUCCCUAUUUAUUUUUGAGAGGGGAGCAUGUUUUAAGGUUUGAAUAAAAUGUAAGUUAAUCCACAAAGUAACACCAGACUUUCUCUUUCAGGGGGUCUGAGAGGAGGCAUAGCCCAUGGAAGGUAAACGCUCCCACAAGUCAGCAGCUUAGCCCAGGCAAGGAAACCGCUCCCUGUGAAGGAAGCAGCAGCCAGAGCCUGCCAGGACCCAUCGGCUCCCUCAGCCCCCACUGCCACACGCACCGUGGGGGCAGCUCGUUCCCCAGCCCAGACACCGUCCGUCCUCAGUUCAUGGCCCCAACCACAGCACGGCCACCACCUUCGCCUCAGAUGUGCCCGUGACGCCGCGGUCCGGGCCUCAGCCCGCGAGACAGCAUACAGGGCGUGGCCACGUGAGCCCUGAGGUGGCGAACCUUCGUGCACGUCAGCCUUGGUGGCCUUUAGGUUAGGUCUGCUCGGGGCAGUUAGAAAGAGGCAGUGUUUCGGGAACGAAGGAACCAACUGUGGAACUUCCCACAUGGCUCCAGAGAACCCAAUAUCCUAGAAGACCAUCCGCCCGUGGCAGAUGCUGGGUACCCACACACCUACCUCUCUAGCUACCACGAGCCUCUCCUGUGGGGUCACAGCCCGUCUCAGGCAGGAUUCUUUGGUUGCACAAAACUGAGGGGUUGGUGGCCACGGGCAAUGCCCACGUGUGGUGGGCACGACAACGGGGCCGGGGGGGAGGGGAGGGGGGGAACUUGGGACCUGGGCCUGGUCGCCCGGGGCCACCCCCUGCACCCCUCCGAAUCAGUGUCAGAGACAGAGACACAGAACUGCUUAGGAUACGAUUUUAUAGACGGGGGUUCCCAAGGACAUGAAGACAAAAGCACCAACACCCCAGGACACGUGUGAGGAAAAGCCACUGCUGUGGGGACGAUCUCCAAGUCCCUCAGCGCCGCGUCCAGAUGUCUCGUGCUGACCAUCGUCGGGCUCCUCCUCUCUGCUGGGUGGGCGGGGGGGCCUCAGCAGGUGCCAGGCUGUGGGGGACACAGCACAAGGUCAGUACCGCCCCCCCGAGCCCCGUGGCCGACACGACCCGGGGAGCAGCAGGGAGGUCCCCGGUACCCCACCCCCCAUUUUCAUCUACCCGUGCAUCAGAUUUUCCUGAUAAAAGCAUACACGGCACGUUUAGUUGGAAAGCCCAUGUUGCGCUUGGCCUGCCGUCCCCACUCCUCACGGUGCCACCCGGGGGACCCGAGAGAAGACAGGCACAGCCACCACAACAUGCGGAACCAGGGGGGAGCAGGAAAACCAUCCCAGAAAUAACAGUGUGAUUCCAGGUGCCCGGAGGACGGAAGACUGAAGAGCUGACAGGACGCAGGAAAGAGGCUGCUCGGAAGGCUGGCAGGGGGUCACGUGCUGGGACGGCGGCUGGUGCCACCCUCCCUUCACGCCGCCGGGCACCCGCGGUCCUCACUGGAAGACCCACCCGCAGGAAAACUGAGAUCAGACAAGAAUCAAAGAUGGCAGCCGUAAACCCAACUGAAUCGUAAUCACACGAAAGUGACUGGGUUGUGGGGAAAGAGCCCUGUGCGCCCCACGUGGGGAGGAAGGAGUAACCGGGCGCUUCAGCACCAGGCCCCCCUUCCAGGCUGUCUUAGAAUCGCAUCUGCUAGAUGCCUUUGUGUUUGUGAAGUUGACCGCAUGGCCACGCACGCCGCAGGAAGAACCACGACUCUCUCCACAGACGCCGAAGAGAGCGGGCCCUGGGGAACGGGGUCGGGUCAGCAGCCCAUUGCUCAGAGAGCGGGGGCACCCAUGUUUUCUGUUCUGGAACUUUCAUGAGCGGCUCCCGCAAAGGCGUUCACUGAACUCCCUCAUCCCCGAGAUAAAUGUCUCCCUGAGAACCCUGAGGAAGCCCUAGAACUAAAGGCCCUUUUCUGUCCACACCCCAGCCAGGGAGCCGGCCCCUGAGGCUCUGUGCACAGCUCAGCCCUCUUAGGAACAUCACAAUCUCGAGGGAAACGCACAUAAACACGUACGCGUGUCCUCGCCUGCUGAUGUGAGCGCGGGGACCCUAACAGAGCCCAGUCCGCCAUCGGCACAAAGGCCCCUUACCACUGGUGCCUCCAGGGGCCACCUCCUGACCUCUCCAAGAUGGGUGGGGAGGGUACGGGAGGGGUCGCCUUGUAGGGGUGCACCCACAGCUGAGCGUGUGCCUGGACCGUAGUGGGUAUCCCCCAUGUGUCUGUUGGGACUCGUUAUCCGGUGCGCCCCAGGCUAUACCCUCCUGCUCUCAGACACGCUGCCCGUGUGCCCUCCUCCAUUAGCCCUGGCCCCCAUUCCUCACACGUCUUCAACCCUGCCGUCCCAACGCGUCAAGUCUAAAAGCCGACAGACACCACAGGACGCUGCACCGGAAACAAGUCUGGGGCCCAGCUCUGCCUUGAGGGACCUAGGAGAAGCCAAUGGCUCUGGGUGCCCCAGGAAAGAACUGGAUGUCGAGGACAGGGGGCACCUGUUCCACCCUUCCUGAUGUCCCACCACGGCCUCCCGCCAUGGCCACCAUGCGAGCGCGUCCCCGCAGAGGGUAAACGGCCUCCUGCACCACUCCCUUCUUGGCACUCCUAACACUGCCAUUCAGGGGCAGGGGAGCCAUUCCUGAAGUGACCCCAUCAGCACCGAGAGCCUGCGAUGCUAUUAAGUCAACGAAAGCAGCCCAACGAGAGAAACACCAUCAGUGGUCAGUACCACCCACCUUUGCACUCUGAACAUCUUCCCACCUGAACAGGAGGCGCCCCCUCCCUGCCCUGUGUCCAGGGGGCCUGCCCAGCCCCUUGGGUAUCAGUGGGGACCUGUGGGCAGACACAAGGUCACCACCUCCUCAGAGCAGAGGCGUCGAGGGCCGGGACCCCUGCUUUCCCUGUCGCUUCAGAGGGUUUGUGGGGGAGGCCUCAGGGACAGGAAGGGAGAUUCUGAACAUCCCCAUUCACCGAGAUGCCGCCCCUAACCCGGCAGGAAGACAGGAAGGGGCCUCGCACUCACCAGGCCGUGGUGCCCAGCACAGUCAUGACCUCAUCAAGGACGUCCUCACUCAUGAUGUCACCGUAGGUGAGCAGCAUCUCGUACACCUGGCUAGCCGUGGUCUUCCGGAUCUGGGCAGGAUGGAGCACGUCAACAGGAGGAAAAGACCCAUGAGAACCCAGAGUGACAGGACCCUGACCAGGGAGCCAACCCCGGGUCCAAAUGGAACCUGAGACCUGCUUGGGCACCAUGCAGGCUGUUAAAAGUAGGGAGGUGACCUGGGAUCCUGGCUCACGAGACCCUGGCCACGGCUGGACAGGUGACCCCGCAGGCUGUGGCCCGGGCCACCCCAUUCCCCUGCCGCCCCCAUGGCAGCCUCAUGAGGGAGAAGCCAGGCCACCUUGCUCUGACUGAAAUGCUUCAUGGAAAACCUGCCCCUCGUCAGAGAGGCUGCCUCACCUGCUUUCUUCCCUAGCUGCCCACUGGCAACUCCGCUCAUGGGAUGGGAUGGUCUCAGAAGCCCCAGGGCCCACACCAGGGCAACUGAGCAGGCUGGGCAGCCUGAGAACCCGCAUUUCUGAUGGGGGGUUGCAGCCGGGCCCAGACUGGGCCCCACUUUGAGCCAAUGGGUUAGGUGUAAAUAUCACUUGUACCUUUUAGGAAAAUGACACAUCGGGAUUAUCUGAAGAGCGUUUUUUAGCCAGUGGAAAAUGGAAUUUGCAGGACAGCUGACCUGGGCAGGCGGCGUGAGUGAGGGUGCUGUCAGGCCCAGGGCCCCCUCGCACACACUGUAGGGGUCAGGGCCGUGGCACCACCACGGAAGACGCCUGGAGUGGUGGCGUGCACUCACCACGGGGAACUGGUGGCAGAGCAGAAGGCUCAGCUGCAGGAGCACCUUCCUCCUCACGUCGCCCGGGAACUGCACCAUCCCACAGAACCUGCAACAACACUGACCUCCAGCCUCGAGGCAAUCGGGCCUGCUUCCGUGAAAACCUGCCCCACAUGAGCACGCUCCCCAAAACGAGGCACAGCCCCUCCCAGGAGGCCGUCGCAGCUGACCCCUGCGAGAGACACAGGUGUUCUCCACGGACAUCACAGCACCAACUCCAGACGCACUGAGACUAAGAUGAAGUCCGCGUCUCUCCCUCCUGACCGCCCUUCCCUUCAUCGUCACAGCGGGAACUCAGAACUUACACCGCGACGCUAGACCGCAGUUUCUGCACGUCCUUGGACUUCUUGAUUUCCUCCUUACAAAGCGCGAGCAGCUUCACACUGAAGGGGUGGCUAAAAGGGAAGAACACGAUGCCAGAGACGAGCUUUCAGCGAGCAUGUGCCGCACGGACAUGCUGUGGCAUCCGGCGACGGCGCGGCCACCAGAUGAUCAGAGGGCCUUGUCCCCCAGGGGUGCCACACAGCCACAUUAACUGGCUCCUUUGCCAGUGCCUGUCCCCGGCAUGCGCCUCCCCACCCUCACCAACCGGAGGGGCACACAGCCCGUCCCCGGCAAGUCCAGCGAGUGCAGGCUCAGCCCGGGAUCAAAGGAAGCGAUGACCAGCUUGUAACCAGGCCCAGCUCCCGGGUCCAAGGAGAACCCAGGAGUGGCCAGAGCAUGGACACACGUCCUCCUCCAUUCUGCACAGCUGAGGACGACGUGGGGCCAGGCCAGCAAGGCUCCCAACGACACAGACAUGGUCCUCCUCUCCAAGCCGCUGCUGGGGGUUCCACUGCCCCCGCUCCCUCUUCUUUGUCCUCAGGGAAAGUGGCCCUUGGUCUCCCUCCACCUGCUGGCGCCCCUGCUUACCUCCUCCAGAUCCCUGUCACCCAGAGCUGUCGGUAUGCACCUCCAGCCCCCUCCCCUCUUCAGGCGUCUCCCCACAGCUCACUGAAACGCUUGUUGUGGACCGAGUGACCACCACGUCCUCCACCUACGUGACCACGUGGCUCACACCACUGAUGACCUACUGUGACGUGCUCUUCCAACUCGGCCUACUUCCCCGUGGCUCUGCUCCCCGUCGUCCUAACAACAGGACACCCCACAGCUCCACUGGGGCUUUUCUUGGUCUACACCCGCUCCCUUGCUGACCUCAUAUGCCUCAUAUGGAUUCAUAUGCCCCCCCACCCUCUGAGGACUUUCCACUGGGUUACAGCCUUGAAGAUCCAUCUCCUCUGGGAGAUGUUCUUUAGACAGAAAAGCAUGACCCCAGAUUCGGGCCGGGCCCGGGGGGGCGGGACAGAGUGGGAGACAAUUAACGUGGGAAAACACCAGGCGGGGCCCACCUGGCACAGCUCUUCCCAAGUCCCUGAAACGUGCCCAGAAGGAAGCUCCAGCCCCCCCCUCCCCCCCCCCCGCCACCAGGGCAUAAGAUGCCCAGCCCAGGGGCAAAGCCCUCAAGGUCUGGGAUCCAGGGAAAGUCCUCAGGCUCCUAACAAGAUAAACCAGCCACUGUGAGCCUACACACCAGAGCUCACUGGCCAGGAGCAGACUCGGGGCUGCCGUGUGUCCGUGUCCCUGCACACACCCACCCUCUGUGCCCACACCCGGCCAGCCCCCACAGCCCCAUUCAGUCCCCCUGUGACAGUCGCGACGCUCUGCACUGCCCGUCUCCACCCUGGUCCACUGCCCAUGACCGCCCUGACUGCCAGGCCCCCUUUGGUCGGCGGGGUGGGCAGCGUGGUUACCUCACCUGCUCGGGUUUUUUCCCACCUGAGUGUCAAGGGCCACAGCAGGAGCCUGGCCGGAGGCGCAGCCCCAGCCUCACUAGGGACAGCCAAAGCCUCUUGCCGGCACGGACCAGACCUGAACGUGCUGGAAGUCACCUUCCGGAUUCUCACCUCUGCUUCUCCUCGCUCUGUCUCUACGGGGCGAGCUGCGAGGCUUGCCCAGCACAGAGGCACCGAGCGGGGCGUACUUACUCCUGCUCCGCGGUGAAGAGGUCGAAGCACCCGUUGGCGAGCAUCUGGUCCAGCGUCUUCAGCAGCGGCACAGACACCCUGAGCGGGAGGGCGAAUGCUGAGGCCCCAGGCGCCAACCCCGGAACCACCGAGAUGCGGACUCCCCCAGAGUCAGCACCGUCCCAACCCAAAUCCGGAUGAGACAUUGUGUAGAAAACGACAAUCCUAUUGUACAAGUCACACGGAAACACUAACGAUCAAAAAAAGCCAAACAACUAAGGGACGCAAGAGUGAGCUGCACCCCUUAAUUUCACCCGCAAAGCCCAAGGGAGCACAAGAGCACAGACCAAGGAGCAGAAAAACCCAGAAAUGAGCUUACGUAUCCAAAACUGAUGAAAAAGUGGAAAACCAACACUGUGGAAGGGACAGAUUUCAACACACUGGACACCCACACGCAGAAACAACACACACACAUGGAUCUGUCACUCGUGUCACACAGAAAAUAACCCAAAACGGACCUUAGGUCUAAAUAUAAAACCUAAUACUAUAGGGGCGCCUGGGGGGCUCAGUCGUUAAGCGUCUGCCUUCGGCUCAGGUCAUGAUCCCAGGGUCCUGGGAUCGAGCCCCUCGUCUCGGGCUCCCUGCUCAGCAAGGAGCCUGCUUCUCCCUCUCCCACUCCCCCCGCUUGUGUUCCCUCUCGCUGUGUCUCUCUCUGUCAAAUAAAUCUUUUUAAAAAAUAAUAAAAAUAAAUUAGGAAGAGUCAGGGCGCCCUGCUCCGCGGGGAGCCUGCUUCUCCCUCUCCCACUCCCCCUGCUUGUGUUCCCUCUCUCGCUGUGUCUCUGUCAAAUAAAUCUUUUUAAAAAAUAAUAAAAAUAAAUUAGGAAGAGUCGGGGCACCCUGCUCCGCGGGGAGCCUGCUUCUCCCUCUCCCACUCCCCCUGCUUGUGUUCACUCUGUCUCUCUGUCAAAUAAAUAAAAUCUUAAAAAAAAAAAAAAAAACAACUAAUACUAUAGAUCUUCUAGAAAACAUCAAGAGAAAACCUUGGUGACCGAGUCAGGCCAAGACUCUUCGCUCUGACACAACAAACACACCCAUAAAAACCAGGGGGAGGAGCCGGAGCAUGUGCACAUGGAGGCGCCCGCUCAGAGUCCGCCAAGCGCGUGAAGGACAGGUCACCACCUGGAAGGCGGUGUCUGCAGGCCACUGUCUGACAAAGGGUUUGCACAGCUCACACGAGAAAUCUCAAAACUCAGCAGGACGGGAAAUCACGACUACCCAACUGAAAAAUAGGCGGGAGGUCUGAACAGACCCUCAUUGGGGAGGAAAUCCACGCCAGGCAGGAGGGAAGCCCCGAAGCCAAAAGGACAGGCCACAGUGGUCGGAACACACAGACCGCGCCUGGACCCUCAAGACGCCCCAGCAGGGUAUAAAACAGUGUGACCUCUUUGCAAAACAGUGUGGCAAGUUUGUAGAAGUUGAACAUCCACCUGCCAUGCAGCCCAGCUAGCCUGCUCCUCAGCACCAAAGUGGGGACACGUCCACACAGACAUGUCUGCGAAUGUCCCUCGCAGCUUUCUUUAUAACUCCGGCCACAAACAACCCUGGCGACCAUCAACAGAGGAACCAAGUGUGGUCUGACCGCACAAUGGAAGCCAGACACAUCGCAGGUUCCACUGAAAUACACUCACAGAAAAUGCCCACUGAACCCCAGGGACAAAAAGCAGAUCAGCGAGUGGUUGCCUAGGGCUGGGCGCUGGAAGGGGUGACGGUGUGUUCAGUGUCCUGACUGGUGACAGUUACAGGGAUGCCAACAGAGUCAACGUCUACCGAACUGCACCCUUUACUCACACUCAGUGCCAUCCAGGAAAAGAGAAAAGACCAUCGGCUGAGCUCCCAUUUGCUUCCCACAGACAGGACAGGCCAACAAGGGCCUGCACCCACGCUGUUGUGACCGGGGCCCAGCUACCCAGGACAGUUGAGAACCAAGUCCAAGAACAACCCUCUCAGAGCACUUUGGGAAACACUCCCAAUUCCAAGGUCAGGGCCCAAGGGCUCUACACGCUGCCUUCAUGGAAAAGCAGUUAGCAAAAACAAUACAGCAAAGAUGCUCAGAAAACAAGGCCUAUUUCUUGCUGCAACAUUCCAAUCCUGGCCUGCAGAGAUCUUGACACACAGUGGAUGUGUCCAUGCACAGACCAAGGAGAUGUCACCUCGGGGAAGAGCCACGUGUACCCUCCCAGGCUCAUCGCCUUGGUCAUCUUUAAAGUCCUAAUUUGGCUGACCCACAGGGCAGGCUGGUGGCAGCUCCACGAUGGUGAUGUGGCUGGUGGAACGCCGUGAGCCGUGGGCACUCCCUGGCCUGGCCGCAGUCAGGUCCCCACCUGGGCUAUCUCACCGCCCCCUUGCAAAUCCUGGUGAGUACAAGUGAGACCGCGGGGGUCUGAAAACCGUGAUGAAGGCACCACCCCUUACCUGUCAUUCAGAAGGUUGUCCUCAAAGACCUGCAGGAGGGUCCCCCCGAAGCCCUCCAGAGCCUGUGGGUCAUUCUGAAUCCCCUUCAUGUACUCAAAGAGGCUCUGCGUUGAGUACCUGACCUGCAACACAGAGAUGCACUCUGGUAACGGUGACAAGACCGCCACCCCCUCGCCACCUGCCCCAGAGGCCACCGCGAUGGUUCCACUCCAACAUCCACGAUGGAGCCAAGGAGACAGACCAACACAGCGUGGGGAUCUUGGCAACGUCCCGCCAGAUGGGACACAAGCACAGAGACAUGGAAGGAGCACUGACCCAGAAAUGCUUCUCCUGGGGCAGCAGUGCAGACCGAACACCACAACGACCCCUAAAAGUUGACCUCAGUGGAGGCUGCAGUCUCCCCGAGAAGGAGGUCAGGGGACCAGAUGCUCCGACACCUUCCAUUCGAAACUCAACCUGUAGCCCCCAAGGCACUGCUGGGCUCAGAGAACCUCCCCACAGACCCCAACGGAUGAGCAGAAGCAGUCGAUGCAGUGACCGCAUGGACGCGGACACAGCUGGCGGUGGGGGCAGCAGGACUCCAGCAGCUGGGGGAGCACCGAAGAAACCCGCUGCCACAGCUGCCUACAGGGCCCCAGACCAGAGUCGCCUGCCUCCAUGCCACAGACCCAGGACAGGGAGUGACCAGGAACGAGUCAACAGGAGGAAGUGAGCCGACAGACCCCCUCCCACCCAAGAGCACAGGUACGAGAAUUACAAGACACGGCACACGGGAGAGCACUGCAGGUUAAUUCUUGGGGAAAAUGCGACGACAAAGAUGAGCCUGUGGGGCGCGCCUGGGUGGUGCAGUCGGUUGAGCGUCGGCCUCUUGAUUUCGGCUCAGGUCAUGAUCUCAGGGUCGUGAGAUCGUCAGGCUCUGCACUCAGUGGGGAGUCUGCUUGAGAUUCUCUCUCCCUCUGCCCCUCCCCCCCAUGCGCUCUCUUAAAAACAAACAAAAAACACAAAAAACAAAACCCAGAUAAGCCUGCAGUGAAAAAGCACAAGAGAGAUUUCAAAACAAAGUGAACCUUUGGUAAUAAAAAACGGAAUUAUGGAAACCAAAAAUUCAGCAUGGGGAGGGAAUUAAACAGCAGACUGUACAAAGCUGCAAAACAAAAUAGUACCUGGAGAAGAAGACUGAAAACCAGGGAGGGCGGAGCACAGGUGGAUACGUGGGGAUCAUAAGGGGUAUACGGGCGGAGGAGAUCCUGAACAAGAAUGAGGAGGGCAGAGAAGUUUCCAGAAAAGAACACAGACCACAGAUCCCAGCCGGUCACAGGCUGCAGCUGCCGAGCGCCAGGCGAGGGAUGAGGGGGGCAUCCCCACAGCCGAACCAGGAGCAGCGGCCCCACCAGACAGGGCUCUUGCUCUGGCGACACUGGCAUCCAAGGGCAGGGGAGUGAAAACGCAUCCGCCGUCCCCAUGGAAACCCACGUGUGACCACACAGGGGAGCAGGACAUCCCCCAACGGCUCCAAAGUGGGGUGCACACGACACUGCUCCCGGGUCCAAGGGAAAAGGACGUGUGACCCCUACGCCAGAGAAAGGACACGAGAAAACGGAACACACAACAGACCAGACUUAUCCAGAAAAUGACGGCACAAAGAGGAGGAAAGAGAAGCAAAGAGGGCGAAGCAGCAGCUGGUAAGUGAGGUCCAAACGGGCCGCCGAGCCCAACGCUCACAGGAGAACCAGGCUGCCCUGUGCCAUGUGCAGCGGGACGCCGUCCACACAGAAGCUCGCCACAACUUUCCUCGUAGUUCUGUGUGCUUCAGGUUCUCCUAAAUAGUCCUGCCACUGAGCUUCCCACUGGGAACGCCAGCCCACUCUCAGCAGAGGUAACACGGUCCUUGGGGGUCCUGCCCUGGAAACCCAAGGCCAGGGGAAGGGGCGGACCCUUGACCCCACUUUGACCCCCAAAGCAGAGGAAAGACCAGCACAGCGAGGACCAAGCUGCCCUCCCAGCAUGUGCCUCUCAGCCUCUGGCUGUCCCACUCAGACCUCCCACACCGCCCCAGCCCUGGGCCAGGUGCCACCCACCACCAUGGGCCUGGGAAGAGGCCUCCUCACCGUCGACUCGGUCAAGCCGCCCACGGACACGGCCAGCCCCAGCAGGACAUGGUAGCGGUAGGUGGGCAGCCCCAGGAGCUGGGUGAUGCGAGGGAAGGACUGGGACGGCGCAUUCCAGUUCACGGAGGCCAUGUCGGAUCUGCAGAGAGUGAGCCAACAAGCUGGAGGGGGGCCCGCGCCCGCCGGGGGUCGGGGACCCCGGCCUCCCGUACCUGGGGAAGAGCUUUUCCAGCUCUCCUCGGUGGGGCACGUGUGGGACGGGAGAGCCGUGAGAGUGCAGCAGAGCCAUGAAGACGCGGGCGGCGUGCGCGCGGAUCCGGUCAAUCUUCUCACUCGCCUGCUGGGCCACAUGACACAUGACUUGCUGACAGCUACAAACCAAGAGCGAGGCCAUUAGCCCAGCUUGAACCCAGGGCACCAGCCAGAGCAGCCCCGCGAGCACGGCAUCUACUCCAGCCACAGGGUGGACGGGACGCAGCCACAGUGAACCUGAGCCCUCAGAGGCCUGAGCACCAGGUCUGGGGUAGAAGCAGUGCAGACAGAUGGGGUGGGCUGGGUGACGGGGGGAAGGGGACACAGGAAGGAACUGAAGGUAGGAGGGAGGGAAGGGAGGCCCCGGCAGCAAAAGCAGACUGGACACAGAGACCCCGGCCUCCCCCCACAGUGCUGGCGUCCUCCCACCGACUGGGCCAGACCCCACACAGGAGGCACUCACACACUGGCCUCGAUCAGCUCUGGCUGCUCCCUCCCCAGCAGGAGCGUCAGGUCCAUCAGACUGGUCAUGGCGGCCUCACGGACCCUGCAGGGACAAGGAGGCGAUGAAGAGCCCCAGGUGCCAUGUGACCCACACUCAGGAGGCUCAGACACCUUCAACCAGGGCGAGUUCCAGAGACUGACCGUCACUUUGGUAGGAAAGGCCCACCAAACGCAGUACACGCAGCUGGCUAGAGCACUUUCUCCUGCGCUCUGUUAGCAAGGACGCAUGUCUGACACCCGAAGGCAGAUGCCAGGUCCCAAGUGCACACAAACGGCACUGAGGUGCCCACAAAAGCUCCAAAUGCAGUACGUGCAGUGCGGCCUGGUCCACAAAGCCUUCUCCCGGCAGAGAAACUGAGGGACAGACGCAUACGGAGCAGCUCCUGUCUGCCACCACCCUUCCAGAUCAGGGCGUCGCUCUCCACUGCGACAGACUCACUCCACAUCCGCUCACACUGAAGAAACGAAGCUUCCACAACGUGGAAACCUGAGCCCACACCAUGACUGGCCAAACCAGGGUGAAAGCCGCACUUCAGACCGGGGACACAGCUGGGCAGCAGGGACCACAGACCCGCCCCGCACCAGCAAGGCCGGCAGGUCCUGCAGGCCAGGCACUGGCCCUUCCACCGACAGACAGACGGAGGCCCCGGCCCACAGGAGCCUGGCCGGUGAAGCACUGAGCUCAGGUGUGGGGCUGCUGGAGGCACGAGACAGACACGGGCCGGGGUUCACGGGAGCAGGACAGGCUGUCCCCAGGGCAUGGCUGCCAACCAGAUGCUGCUCAGGACCUGAGACAUAUGCCUGCCCAUCUGCAGGCGCCAGGCUGGGCAGGGUGUGGGAGACACGAGGACGGCGGGGCCCUGCGGACCCCCCAGUGUCUGUGGGUACAGCACUCACAGGAGAGGUGGGGGAAGAGGACACACAGAGGACAAACCCAAGCCUGCACACACACCCUCGGGGCCUCACCAGCUCCUUACAGGUGGCGCACGGUCCGACCCCACACAGAGGGCCUCAGGCGACCCGCACCCACACCACAGGCCUGACCUUCGUGCUCCCUGCAAGCAUGUGCACACCCAAAGCCUCCGCCAUUCUGAGUGUACACUUUCUGGGUUUGGUUAGCGCUACAAGGAAUGGUUUAAAAAAAAAAUAGGGGCUCCUGGGGGGCUCAGUCAUUGAGUGUCUGCCUUCAGCUUCGGUCGUGGUCCCAGGGUCCUGGGAUGGAGCCCCGCAUCGGGCUCCCUGCUCGCAGAAAGCCUGCUUCUCCCUCACCCACUCGCCCUGCUUGUGUUCCCUCUCUCACGGUCUGUCAAAUUAAUAAAUAAAAUCUUAAAAAAAAAAAGUGUUCUUAUACAAAGUAGAGUAUCAUAUAGGUAAAUCAAUUAUGCAUACUGAAAUACUCAGGAUACAAGGGGGCAUAAGAAGAUUUAUAGAUAAUUAAAACAUCUAAAUUAUGGUGCACACCUGGGUGGCUCAGUCGUUAAGCGUCUGCCUUCGGCUCAGGUCAUGAUCCCCGGGUCCUGGGAUCGAGCCCCAUGUCAGGCUCCCUGCUCCCCGGGAAGCCCGCUUCUCCCUCUCCCGCUCCCCCUGCUUGUGUUCCCUCUCUCGCUGUCUGGCUGUCAAAUAAAUAAAACCUUUAAAGAAGGGCGCAUGGGUGGCUCAGUCAGUUAGGUGUCUGCCUUCCGCUCAGGUCAUGGUCCCAGGGUCCUAGGAUCGAGCCCCGAGUUGGGCUCCCUGCUCUGCGGGGAGCCUACUUCUCCCUCUGCCUCUGCCUCUCUCUCUCUCUCAUGAAUAAAUAAAUAAAAUCUUCAAAAAAUAAAUAAAGAAAGAAAGAAAGAAAGAAAGAAAGAAGGAAGGAAGGAAGGAAGGAAGAAAGAAAGAAGAAAGAAAGAAAGAAAGAAGAAAGAAAGAAGAAAGAAAGAAAGAAAGGAAAGAAAGAAAGAAAGAAAGAAAGAAAGAAAGAAAGAAAGAAAGAAAGAAAGAAAGAAAGAAAGAAAGAAAGAAAGGAAGAAAGAAAGAAAGAAAGAUUCUUAGGGACGCCUGGGUGGCUCAGUCAGUUAAGCGUCUGCCUUCGGCUCGGGUCAUGGUCCCAGGGUCCUGGGAUCGAAUCCCACAUCGGGCUCCCUGCUCAGCGGGAAGCCCGCUUCUCCCUCUCCCGCUCUCCCUGCUUGUGUCCCCUCUCUUGCUGUGGCUCUCUCUGUCAAAUAAAUAAAUAAAAUCUUUAAAAAAAUAAAAAUAAAUAAAUGAAAAUUAAAAAAUUAAAAAAAAAAAAAAAA